AUUUGGGCGCUGCCAAGCACAAUGAGGUACGGCAAGGCACCAGGUGCGCCUAGGCAUGCUCGGGUGAGGCCAGCAAAGGCUUAUAAAAGUGCUGCAAACCAUGAUUUUAAAUAACAAUGUAACCGUUGUUAUUUAAAGGACUUUUAGCUUCCUGUUACUGUUAUCACCAUUAUUUAACGAAUUUUUAAAAUUGUAAUUGUAAAGGUUGUUAUGGUCGUUGUUUAAAGAUAAUGGUCGUUAUCCCGAGGCAAAGGGAGUUAAAGUG
rnacentral:misc_RNA from 1 species